rnacentral:rRNA from 1 species
CGGUCCAGACUCCUACGGGAGGCAGCAGUGGGGAAUAUUGCACAAUGGGGGAAACCCUGAUGCAGCCAUGCCGCGUGUGUGAAGAAGGCCUUCGGGUUGUAAAGCACUUUCAGCGAGGAGGAAAGGUCAGUAGCUAAUAUCUGCUGACUGUGACGUUACUCGCAGAAGAAGCACCGGCUAACUCCGUGCCAGCAGCCGCGGUAA